CAGUCGCCGCGGGAAUACGGAGGAUCCAAGCGUUAUCCGGAAUUAUUGGGUUUAAAGGGUGCGUAGGCGGCAUGCUAAGUCAGGGGUGAAAGACGGUGGCUCAACCAUCGCAGUGCCUUUGAUACUGGUGUGCUUGAAUGUACAUGAGGUAGGCGGAAUGAGACAAGUAGCGGUGAAAUGCAUAGAUAUGUCUCAGAACACCAAUUGCGAAGGCAGCUUACUAAGGUAUGAUUGACGCUGAUGCAAAGCGUGGGGAUCAAACAGGAUUAGAUACCCCCGUAGUCCCUGUCUCUUAUACACA
rnacentral:rRNA from 1 species